GGAAUAUUGGACAAUGGGCGAAAGCCUGAUCCAGCAAUGCCGCGUGUGUGAAGAAGGCCUGCGGGUUGUAAAGCACUUUUGCGGGGAACGAGGGGUGGUGCGCCAAUACCGUGAUCACCUGACGGUACCCUGCGAAUAAGCACCGGCCAACUCCGUGCCAGCAGCCGCGGUAAUACGGAGGGUGCGAGCGUUAAUCGGAAUUACUGGGCGUAAAGCGGGCGUAGGCGGCUGAUCAAGUCCGAGGUGAAAGCCCCGGGCUCAACCCGGGAACGGCGUUGGAGACUGAUCGGCUGGAGUGCGACAGAGGGUGGUGGAAUUCCCGGUGUAGCGGUGAAAUGCGUAGAGAUCGGGAGGAACAUCGAUGGCGAAGGCAACCGCCUGGGUCGACACUGACGCUGAGGUGCGAAAGCGUGGGGAGCAAAC
rnacentral:rRNA from 1 species